rnacentral:misc_RNA from 1 species
GAUGAAGAACGUAGUGAAAUGCGAUAAGUAAUGUGAAUUGCAGAAUUCAGUGAAUCAUCGAAUCUUUGAACGCACAUUGCGCCCGGUAGUAUUCUGCCGGGCAUGCCUGUUCGAGCGUCAUUUCAACCAUCAAGCCCCAGCGCUUGUGUUGGGGGCCUGCGGCUGCCGCAGCCCCCCAAAAGCAGUGGCGGGCUCGCUAUCACACCGAGUGCAGUAGUUCAUCUUCUCUCCGGUCUUGUGAGGCGGGUUACGGCCGUGAAACACCCCACUACAUUCAAGGUUGACCUCGGAUCAGGUAGGAAUACCCGCUGAACUUAAGCAUAUCAAUAAGCGGAGGA